UCUGCAAGACCUGCUCCCUGCAUUUCUGGCUGAUUUCCACCUGGCCUGGAAGGGCAGGGCCCUGUCUCUCUCCAGCUACAAAAGCAGCAACUGCUGAAGGGGCCAGAGACCAUCUACCUGUGUUUGGCUUGCUUCUUCACACUUGGAGCUUGGAUUAUUUGAAUGGGGUGGUGACAGAGAGAGAGACAGCUGUGCUGCGCUGUGGAAACCAAAAGUAAAGCAAUGAUUGCUGGUGAAACAUGGAAAGCAUUGUGGACUCCAGCAGCACUUCAUUCAGAUUUUCUGUGGAGAACCAUACAAAAAGGAGCCAAUCCGGUUGGAUCCUGGAGAUGCAGGAUCUUACUGGAAGGGGUUCAAUGUGAUGGAAUCAAAAGGGAUGGUGAGGAAGGCUUGAUGAAAUGCUGAGACAGGACUCUGGCGAUUACCGAUCCACACUGGCUUGAACUUGAAGAGUUUGGGGUCCAGUCCAAAAUGUACUGGAAGGCAGAACCUAAACUCCAGUGUCUUGCCUCUCCCCAACCAAUUUUUGGGAUGUUCAUCACAUAAAAAACAAUACU